GUGCCAGCCGCCGCGGUAAUACGGAGGGUGCGAGCGUUGUCCGGAAUCACUGGGCGUAAAGGGCGCGUAGGCGGCGCGAGGAGUCGGGGGUGAAAGUCCGGGGCUCAACCCCGGAUCGGCCUUCGAUACUCUCGCGCUGGAGCACAGUAGAGGCGGGUGGAAUUCCGGGUGUAGCGGUGGAAUGCGUAGAGAUCCGGAAGAACACCGGUGGCGAAGGCGGCCCGCUGGGCUGUGGCUGACGCUGAGGCGCGACAGCGUGGGGAGCAAACAGGAUUAGAUACCCCAGUAGUCC
rnacentral:rRNA from 1 species